GUCGAACGAUGAACCACUUCGGUGGGGAUUAGUGGCGAACGGGUGAGUAACACGUGGGCAAUCUGCCCUGCACUCUGGGACAAGCCCUGGAAACGGGGUCUAAUACCGGAUACUGAUCCGUCUGGGCAUCCAGACGGUUCGAAAGCUCCGGCGGUGCAGGAUGAGCCCGCGGCCUAUCAGCUUGUUGGUGAGGUAGUGGCUCACCAAGGCGACGACGGGUAGCCGGCCUGAGAGGGCGACCGGCCACACUGGGACUGAGACACGGCCCAGACUCCUACGGGAGGCAGCAGUGGGGAAUAUUGCACAAUGGGCGAAAGCCUGAUGCAGCGACGCCGCGUGAGGGAUGACGGCCUUCGGGUUGUAAACCUCUUUCAGCAGGGAAGAAGCGAAAGUGACGGUACCUGCAGAAGAAGCGCCGGCUAACUACGUGCCAGCAGCCGCGGUAAUACGUAGGGCGCGAGCGUUGUCCGGAAUUAUUGGGCGUAAAGAGCUCGUAGGCGGCUUGUCACGUCGGUUGUGAAAGCCCGGGGCUUAACCCCGGGUCUGCAGUCGAUACGGGCAGGCUAGAGUUCGGUAGGGGAGAUCGGAAUUCCUGGUGUAGCGGUGAAAUGCGCAGAUAUCAGGAGGAACACCGGUGGCGAAGGCGGAUCUCUGGGCCGAUACUGACGCUGAGGAGCGAAAGCGUGGGGAGCGAACAGGAUUAGAUACCCUGGUAGUCCACGCCGUAAACGGUGGGCACUAGGUGUGGGCAACAUUCCACGUUGUCCGUGCCGCAGCUAACGCAUUAAGUGCCCCGCCUGGGGAGUACGGCCGCAAGGCUAAAAC
rnacentral:rRNA from 1 species